rnacentral:lncRNA from 1 species
GCAAUGUGUGUGUGUGCCGGGUGUUUUGUUUGCCAGUUUUGCUAACGUCAGUAACUACGGUAGUCUUACGUGUUGUAUUACUCAAAAUUUUGCGUACAUGUGCGGUGUAGCUCAGUUUCAUAAGACGGACACAGUGAUCGUGUGUUAGCGUGGACUACGCGAGGACAUUUGCCCAGCGGACGGGACAGUGAGGCCUUCGCUGUGGACGCUGCCCGAACGAAAAGACUGUAAGUGUUUUACAGCCUACAGAAAAGACUUCCCAGAGGUCUGACUGAAGACAACAGUAGGUAAGCUCAUUCCAAGGAAGGCCUUAUUCAACUUAAUUGCAUCCGGUGGACCUACAACACUCACCUGUGGACAUACUGUGGCCUGCGAACAAUCUCUCAAUAUCACCUGCACUAUGCAGGUAUUUGAGACAACCUGUUUCCAUAGCUGGAACUCAUUUUCACUCUUUAACGCUCUAGUAAAUGAGCUUGCUUAACAUAAAUACUCAAGCGAACUAUGCUCAACACGCAGACGAAAUAAAUAAUAACAGUUCAC